UAAAAGUGUCGUCAAUGUCCAGCCAGCCAGGGAAUUUAUACCCUACGCUGACUGGACAUUAGAUGAUCUGACCUGUAUGAGCAAGUACGGCAUUCCCCUGGCGAAUACGGGCAGCGAUGUCGAGAGUGCACAGCACGAAGACAUGGACUUUUA
rnacentral:sRNA from 1 species